AUUGAACGCUGGCGGUAGGCCUAACACAUGCAAGUCGAGCGAGCGGCGGACGGGUGAGUAAUGUCUGUGAAACUGCCUGAUGGCGGGGGAUAACUACUGGAAACGGUAUCUCAUACCGCAUACCAUCAGAUGUGCCCAGAUGGGAUUAGCUGGUAGGUGGGGUAACGGCUCACCUAGGCGACGAUCCCUAGCUGGUCUGAGAGGAUGACCAGCCACACUGGAACGGAGACACGGUCCAGACUCCUACGGGAGGCAGCAGUGGGGAAUAUUGCACAAUGGGCGCAAGCCUGAUGCAGCCAUGCCGUGUGUGUGAAGAAGGCCUUCGGGUUGUAAAGCACUUUCAGCGAGGAGGCGUUACCCGCAGAAGAAGCACCGGCUAACUCCGUGCCAGCAGCCGCGGUAAUAC
rnacentral:rRNA from 1 species